rnacentral:rRNA from 1 species
UACGGGGGGGGCAAGCGUUGUUCGGAAUUACUGGGCGUAAAGGGCGCGUAGGCGGCCUGCUAAGUCACACGUGAAAUCCCUCGGCUCAACCGGGGAACUGCGUGUGAUACUGGCGGGCUUGAAUUCGGGAGAGGGAUGUGGAAUUCCAGGUGUAGCGGUGAAAUGCGUAGAUAUCAGGAGGAACACCUGCGGUGUAGACGGCUUACUGGACCAUAACUGACGCUGAGGCACGAAAGCGUGGGUAGCAAACAGG